UAGCAGUCGAAAUCUGCACAAGGCAGCACUGCUCUCUGCUGCCCCAUCCCCUGCAAUGACAGAAGCAGUUCUGUACAUUUGGUGAACCCGGAGAAUGGAUUGUGUUUAAAGUCAUGUUUUUGUUUGCUUGUUUGGGGCCCUUGGUUUGUUGUUCUGGUUUUGUUUUGUUCCCUCGGGAUGGCUCUGGCUGACUAAUUUUACAGCCUGUUGUUUUUCAAAUGCAGAUGUCACCACUGGAGAGAGAAUGGGGCAAGGACAAGUUCAGCGGUCACCAGAUAAGGAGGACCACGCUUUUUCCAUCAGUUUGAAGAGAUUUGGCAGAGCUUUAAGUAACACCAUAAUUUUCCUAAAGCUUGUUCAACCUGCCUGCUAACGUGUGUGUUCUCCACAAAAGUUUCUCCCUUUUAGACACGUUUGCAGCACUUCUCAGACCACUUUGUUCUUUCACCUUACGGCUCGAAACCCUUGUUUCAGGGCACGCUUGUUUCUUCUACUGUAUUUUUACUGCCCCUUGAGUGACAUCAUUCAAGUGGUGAGUCUCUGAGAGAUGAUUCAUACUGAAAAAGAUCUAAUAAUUGUUACCAGUUAUUCAAAUCAGUGUUACUGAUUUCCCGCAUCCUCCCACUGGUCCCUUGAGCUCCCCCACCCACUCGUUUUUCCUAAUAAUUCCCAGGCUUUCUGGCUGUAUGCUCAGUGUGCCCUCCUCAGUGUUACUGUGCUAAGGUGUAAGUAUCUCGCCCUCCCCUGAGGAGCUCUUAGGGCUUGGCUGCAGCAGCUUGUGUAGGCAGAUACGGGCUGAGCUGAACUGGCAAGGUAGAGGUGGAUUGACAAGCGCUGGCCUCAGUAAAGCUUCCAACUGCUUUCACAGCACAUCUUCUGUUUCACUGCUGUGUCGGCAUUGUUGGCAGCCUCUGAGGUUCAAAGCUAGAUGAGUAAUGUGUCUGCAGGCUGUGGUGCUGGGGUGCACAGAACUCUGAGCUAGAUUCUCCUGGGAAGUUCUGCAAGGUAUUGGGGUAAUUACCUGCUCUGAGCUAGCAAAGACUUGCACCAGUAGUGACCGUAUCACGCUGCUGCUGUUUCAGUUUGUAGUGAAGAAUGUUUGUUCUGUUUCACGAAUACGGAUGUAUAACUCAUGAAGCUUGUUUCUCCUGCACCUUGAAUUGAGCUCUAUGCUGUGCAGUGAUUCACAUCAUCAGCGUAAAAAGCAAAUUCUUGUUGGGAGCAGCCAUAUAUUGUUCUUCAUCCAACUCCUCAGUGUGGCCCCAUAUUCCCAUUACACCCUUUUUCAUAUCCCUGCAUCCUUGUCUUUGAUCUUCCCUGCUUAAGUCCCUUCUGUGUGCAUUUUGUCAUUUCUCUUGUGCAUUCACCUUCUUAGUCAUUCUUUUUGCUGGCAGGGGCCCACUUGAUUUUGCUUAGAGUUAUAUGGAUCUUGAGUAUCAGAGGUGGAAGGGGGCAAAUCUGGAUCAGUUCUGGAUGCCCAGCACAAACACGCUGAUGUUCAUGUCUCUGCACGCUGUAAACCCAGCCCCAAAACAAGUCUGUGGCUCUUGUGGAGAGAGCUGCUUUACGUGGCAGCAUCCUUUUGUGUUGCAUUGGAUUCAGCAUUGUGUUCAGGGCUGAAAUGCCCUGUGUGCCGUGCGUUGGCCCAGCAGGAUGAACUCACACAAAGAGAGUGUCAGAGCUGCCCUUUCUGGAAAAGUAAGUGAUAGGAAUUUAUGGCUGUUGCAUCUGCAGUAAAGCUGGCACCACAGCCCUACUUCGUCAGCAGUAGGACAGCGGAGGGGGAAAAAAGCAUGGUGUAACCUUUGGUAUGUUAUUUAUUAUCAGUUUGCAGCCCUCUGGAAAAUGAACUUUAGAAAAUUCUGUGCCGAUGGUAACGAUGAACACUGGGAAAACCCAGGAAUCAGCAAAUCCAUUGUGUUGCGCUGACAGAAAGAUACUGUUACAACACACUUUAGCUGCCAACUUGCUGCAGUCACUCAAUCCAUCAUGGUGGGCUGUUGGAUCACAAGGCAGUGAAACUCAGCCUGGCGUGUUAUUUUAGUCUUACAUGGACUGUGAGAUAAACGGGGCAUGAACCAGCCCCCUGGCAGGGGGUCGACCCCUAGCGCCCUCAUUAAAGUGCCAAUCAAAAAGAGUAAUGGAACAGGGAAUGGAAAGCUGGCUUCUUCAGCCUGUUACUGCGCACAGUCUGAGCAACUUGCACAAGCCAAGGGAAACAUUUCUCUUCUGAAGAGAAGCCAGGCUUCCAGAAAUACCUCCUCUCUCCUUUUCUCUUUGUGUGCAAUGCUGGGACCCUCCUGUGCGUCCCGCCUGUGGUGGCAGCCUGUGGUGGCAGCCUGUUGCUUACUACAGUGCAAGCAGUGGGAAGAAGUGUGGCCGAAUGUAACCCGGAAAGGAUGUAGAUGCUUCUUCUGUGGAAUACAGCAGUCAGUGAUUGGUUACAGCAUGGCUUCUCUUGCACAUUGCUUGGAUUUCAGCAUUUGCGUAUGAAAGAUGGGCAGAAAAGGGUGCUGUGAAGCUGCAAUCAGACUGUGCUGAGGUAAAGAAGAGAAAGCAGCAGCUGUGUUCUGACGUUGGCCUUGUACUUCACUAUGGGAUCUUAGUCAAGGCCUCCUUUCAUGAGUAACUGAGCUGUGUUACAGCCGUGCGAACCCAGGGGCAGUGUGAGGACCCAGCCUUGUGUGCACAUCUGGUGCUGCUUUACUCACGUUCUCCCACUCAGAAAGUCUGAUGAUAAAGACCUUAGGAAAGGAGUACAUCUCAGUGCUAGAGAAACCGGCCUGGAUUCUGUUAAUGAAACAUUGUCUCUGCGAGGUAACUGCAGUGUUAGCGAGGAGGUAGAUUUGAACUGCCCUGAUUCCUUGUUAAGGCUACCAGAGUAUUGGGCCAACUACCAGCAGGCUGGAAUAGAUCUGAACCAAUAAUAUUCAUGGGGAAUUGAUGAUGUUUUCAUCCUAGCCCCAUAUUUGAUAAAACAGCAGCAUCAUGUGUACUGACAAAGCAGUUACCACCAAGCAUGGAUUGGAGUGCAAAGCUCUGCUCCCUGUCUGUUUUUUCAGACAAGACGACUCAGUGAUCCUUGUUUAUAGCAACUAUACUUUUAAGAAUGGAAGUGUGGGGAGUAAGGCCAUCACUUUGCAAGACACAUUUUUAUGGAGUUGAUCCAAGAUCCCGGGGACCAAGUCUUCAGUUGGUGAGAGAAUAGCUGAGUGGUGGAAAACACCACCUCUGGGAAAUGGGAGAGCAUACAUUGAACUCCUUGUCGUGAUUAUUGCGAUUACUUCUCUGUUGUGAGAUGUGGAACUUCCAGCCACUUACUUUCUCUCCACAAAAACAUAAGCACUGCACUUUUUGAUUAAACAGCAUUCACAACUUAAGCUGUUCAGCUAUCAUCAAGUUGAUUUAUUGGAAAAGAAUUCAAGAGCAGAAAGAAGGAUAUUGUCCACAUCUUGCAUGUUGUUUAGCUUAUUUCAGGCAUAUCUCAUUGUGUAUUUCCUGGUUUAUUGCCUGUAAUUUAUUUAAAGAUGGCUAAGUUGGAGUAGGUAACAGAAUUGUUUAUGGUCCAGUAGUGACUGUUGUGAAAACUGUUUCAGCCUGAUGUUACCCUGGUACGUGCAGACCCUCACUCCUACUUGGAAUUGAGCGCCUAAGGGUUGUUAAAGUCUUUCUUCUAAUCUGUCCCCUGCCUUUCUCUUUCAGAGGCAGCAAGGGAGACAGAUACUUGAUCUCCCCUCACCUGUGAUGUGCUGCAGCCCGCUACCUGGCAAGGAAUGUCUACAGGAAUAAAACUUACAGAAUUAUGUUAUG